rnacentral:rRNA from 1 species
AGAUCGGUCUAUAUCCUAUUAGCUAGUUGGUAAGGUAACGGCUUACCAAGGCGAUGAUGGGUACGGGGCGUGAGAGCGCGACCCCGAUCACUGGGACUGAGACACUGCCCAGACGCCUACGGGCGGCUGCAGUCGAGAAUCUUCGGCAAUGGACGCAAGUCUGACCGAGCGACGCCGCGUGUAUGACGAAGGCCUUCGGGUUGUAAAAUACUGUCGAUUGGGAGGAAGUAGAUAGGGGAACUCUUCUAUUUUUGACCUAUCAUUUGAGGAAGGGCGGGCUAAGUUCGUGCCAGCAGCCGCGGUAAGACGAACUGCUCAAACGUUAUUCGGAAUCACUGGGCUUAAAGGGCGCGUAGGCGGUUUAACAAGCGAGGUUUGAAAUCCCGUAGCUCAACUACGGAACUGGGCUUCGAACUGUUGGACUAGAGUGAAGUAGGGGCAAGCGGAACUUGCGGUGGAGCGGUGAAAUGCUUUGAUAUCGCAAGGAACACCGGCGGCGAAAGCGGCUUGCUUGGCUUUAACUGACGCUGAAGCGCGAAAGCUAGGGUAGCGAACGGGAUUAGAUACCCCGGUAGUCCUAGCCGUAAACACUGAGCGCUUGUUCGAGGGGGCUUGUCCUUCUCGAGCGUAGCGAAAGUCUUAAGCGCUCCGCCUGGGGAGUAUGGUCGCAAGGCUGAAACUCAAAGGAAUUGACGGGGGCUCACACAAGCGGUGGAGGAUGUGGCUUAAUUCGAGGCUACGCGAAGAACCUUAUCCUAGGCUUGACAUGCAUUGUAACCUCUAUGAAAGUAGGGUAUCGUUAGCAAUAACGAGCUUUGCACAGGUGCUGCAUGGCUGUCGUCAGCUCGUGUCGUGAGACGUCGGGUUAAGUCCCUUAACGAGCGAAACCCCUGUCGUUAGUUGCCAUCAUUUGGUUGGGUACUCUAACGAGACUGCCUAAGUUAAUGCGGAGGAAGGCGGGGACGACGUCAAGUCCUCAUGGCCCUUAUGCCUAGGGCUGCACACGUCCUACAAUGGAUUCCACAAAGGGAAGCGAAGUCGCGAGGCGGAGCAAAUCCCAAAAAAGGAUCCUCAGUUCGGAUUGUAGUCUGCAACUCGACUACAUGAAGCCGGAAUCGCUAGUAAUCGCGGGUCAGCAUACCGCGGUGAAUGUGUUCCUGAGCCUUGUACUCACCGCCCGUCA